rnacentral:rRNA from 1 species
AAACCGCCUAGAGGUAAACGGGUGGAUCCGCAAAGUCGGCCCGCGGAAUUCAGCUCGGAAGGCCGUGAGCCUGCGGUGGGUCGGGGAUCUUUNUCGACCCUCCCGCCGCGGGACCUCGCGUCGACCGUGUGCACUUUCCGCGGGCAGAGCGCCACGACCGGUUCUCGGGCGGUCAGAAGGCGGCGGGGAUGGUAGGCGUGCGCUUCGGCGCGCGCUGGUAUAGCCCCGCCUGUCCCGAUCCGCUCGGGGACCGAGGAGCCGCCGCCGGCGUAGGCCGCCUUGCCUUCCCGGGAGGUUCGACUGGCAGAGACUGGGUAACCGUGUCUGCCGACCGCCUCUCGGUGACAGGAUGGGGUGGGCCCGCCGGCACAGGGUCGGUGGCGAAUCGGUCGGCCCUCCACCCGACCCGUCUUGAA